CAGCACGGUUUUCUUUUAUUGGCGCUAUAUUGGUUUUUAGAUUUAGACAUGAUCAAUGACACCGGUUCUUAAAUUUUGCAGACAAAGGGACAAAAAAGAUGGUGACAUCGCCAUCAUGGAUGAAUUGAAGAGCAAGGUAAGUUGCCAACUUUCCACCUUUUUGUCAUGCAUAAUUUUUUUUUUGUUUUUUUAUUUAAAGCCAAACAGAAAAGUUACUCUAAAUUUGUAUGCAGAUCUCUGAAGAUAACUUGUCAGGAUUUAUAAUGGGAUACCCAACCUACAGGUCACGCACAGUAAAAAUGGUAAGUCUUUGUUGGAUAAUGAAAUGGUUAACUAUCUGUUAGACUUGGUAAUUUAUAAUUUUGCUUAACGUUUUUUUAGACUUCGGUGGUGGAAAACUUUGUGGAUGGCCUAGAUAGGAGUGGUAAAUUUCCAGACUUGAGUGUGUGCUACUGGAAUGAGUUUGGCUCAUCUAAGAAUGUCCAACUACUGCUUGAACACUUGGGUCUAAGCCGGAAUGAGUUCAAGAGGAUAACUGACAUGUUCGCGGCCUCGGGAAUAUUACAAGGUUACUUAGAUUUUCAUAACAAUCCCGGGUCAAAGCCAUGGAGCGGUGUAAAGGAUGACAAGGGUUGUUGAGCAUGUACCUUGUAGUAGUGCCGUCUUGUUUGGGAAAUGUAGCAUUAACUGAAUGUUACUAAAAAAGUGUAUCUCAUGAACUAAAUGUUAGAAACCAUCUUUUCUUAUCCUUUUUUUUGAACAGCA